rnacentral:rRNA from 1 species
UCCUACGGGGGGCAGCAGUGAGGAAUAUUGGUCAAUGGGAGAGAUCCUGAACCAGCCAAGCCGCGUGAGGGAAGACGGCCCUAUGGGUUGUAAACCUCUUUUGUCGGAGAACAAAACCCGGGACGUGUCCCGGACUGCGUGUAUCCGAAGAAAAAGCAUCGGCUAACUCCGUGCCAGCAGCCGCGGUAAUACGGAGGAUGCGAGCGUUAUCCGGAUUUAUUGGGUUUAAAGGGUGCGUAGGCGGUCCGUUAAGUCAGCGGUAAAAUUGCGGGGCUCAACCCCGUUGAGCCGUUGAAACUGGCAGA